UUUAUACUCCCUCCGUCCGGAAAUACUUGUCGAAGAAAUGCAUAAAAAUGAUGUAUGUAGACUAAAAUACAUCUAGAUACAUCCAUUCCUCCGACGAGUAUUUCCGUACGGAGGGAGUAUAUU
rfam:Triticum aestivum genome assembly, contig: Triticum_aestivum_CS42_TGACv1_scaffold_407124_5BL